rnacentral:rRNA from 1 species
ACGGCGGACGGGUGAGUAACGCGUGGGUAACCUACCCUGUACACACGGAUAACAUACCGAAAGGUAUGCUAAUACGGGAUAAUAUACUUGAGAGGCAUCUCUUAAAUAUCAAAGGUGAGCCAGUACAGGAUGGACCCGCGUCUGAUUAGCUAGUUGGUAAGGUAACGGCUUACCAAGGCGACGAUCAGUAGCCGACCUGAGAGGGUGAUCGGCCACAUUGGAACUGAGACACGGUCCAA